AUUUGAUAAAGAAAAAUGUUUAAAAGCAGUUAUUUAUAAUUACUAUAACAGAAAUUUACAAAAUUUCGUGAAAUUUAAC
rnacentral:tRNA from 1 species